rnacentral:rRNA from 1 species
GACGAACGCUGGCGGCGUGCUUAACACAUGCAAGUCGAACGAUGAACCCGGAGCUUGCUCCGGUGGAUUAGUGGCGAACGGGUGAGUAACACGUGAGUAACCUGCCCUUGACUCUGGGAUAACUGCGGGAAACUGUAGCUAAUACCGGAUACGACCCUCGGCGGCAUCGCCAGGGGGUGGAAAGAAUUUCGGUCAAGGAUGGACUCGCGGCCUAUCAGCUAGUUGGUGAGGUAACGGCUCACCAAGGCGACGACGGGUAGCCGGCCUGAGAGGGUGACCGGCCACACUGGGACUGAGACACGGCCCAGACUCCUACGGGAGGCAGCAGUGGGGAAGAUUGCACAAUGGGCGCAAGCCUGAUGCAGCGACGCCGCGUGAGGGAUGACGGCCUUCGGGUUGUAAACCUCUUUCAGCACCGACGAAGCGCAAGUGACGGUAGGUGCAGAAGAAGGACCGGCCAACUACGUGCCAGCAGCCGCCGCCG